rnacentral:rRNA from 1 species
UACGUAGGGUGCGAGCGUUUGUCCGGAAUUAUUGGGCGUAAAGGGCUCGUAGGCGGUUUGUCGCGUCGGGAGUGAAAACCCAGGGCUUAACCCUGGGCCUGCUUCCGAUACGGGCAGACUAGAGGUAUGCAGGGGAGAACGGAAUUCCUGGUGUAGCGGUGAAAUGCGCAGAUAUCAGGAGGAACACCGAUGGCGAAGGCAGGUCUCUGGGCAUUAACUGACGCUGAGGAGCGAAAGCAUGGGGAGCGAACAGG